UACGAAGGGGGCUAGCGUUGCUCGGAAUCACUGGGCGUAAAGCGCACGUAGGCGGAUCUUUAAGUCAGGGGUGAAAUCCCAAGGCUCAACCUUGGAACUGCCUUUGAUACUGGGGAUCUCGAGUCCGGAAGAGGUUGGUGGAACUGCGAGUGUAGAGGUGAAAUUCGUAGAUAUUCGCAAAGAACACCAGUGGCGAAGGCGGCCAACUGGCCGGUACUGACGC
rnacentral:rRNA from 1 species